CGGUUACACCAAGUGAUUAAGUUAUAUUUUUAGGUAAAAAGAUAGUUAGGUUUAUAUUAAGUAAUUUUGGUUUAUUAAACAUUUAUAAAAAAGUAAAAUUUGUAUAUAGAUAGCUAAUUUAAUAAUAACUAAAUAUACUGAAGCUGUGAUAAUCUUGAGGGAAACUGGGAUUAGAUACCCCAUUAUUCUUGAUUGUAAAUAGAAUUAAAUUUACCAGAGUACUAUGAAUAGUUAAAAAUUUAAAACUCAAAGGGCUUGGCGGUGUUUUAGACCAAUCAGGGGAACCUGUCUCGUAAUCGACAAUCCACGUAAUAUCUAACCUUAUUUUGUAAUCAGUUUGUAUACCGUCGUCGUCAGGUAACUUUUAAAAAUAUAGAAGUUAGCAAUUAAAAUUAGUUUGAAUUAAGACGUCAGAUCAAGGUGCAGCCUAUAGUAAGGAGAGGAUGGGUUACAGUUAUAAAAAUUAUAAUUACGGAAAUUUAAAUGGAACUUAUUUUGAAGGAGGACUUGAAAGUAAACUAAAAUACAUAAAUAGUUUGAAUAAGGCUCUG
rnacentral:rRNA from 1 species